CCUACGGGCGGCAGCAGUGGGGAAUAUUGCACAAUGGGCGCAAGCCUGAUGCAGCCAUGCCGCGUGUGUGAAGAAGGCCUUCGGGUUGUAAAGCACUUUCAGCGGGGAGGAAGGCGUUAAGGUUAAUAACCUUGGCGAUUGACGUUACCCGCAGAAGAAGCACCGGCUAACUCCGUGCCAGCAGCCGCGGUAAUACGGAGGGUGCAAGCGUUAAUCGGAAUUACUGGGCGUAAAGCGCACGCAGGCGGUCUGUCAAGUCGGAUGUGAAAUCCCCGGGCUCAACCUGGGAACUGCAUUCGAAACUGGCAGGCUAGAGUCUUGUAGAGGGGGGUAGAAUUCCAGGUGUAGCGGUGAAAUGCGUAGAGAUCUGGAGGAAUACCGAUGGCGAAGGCGGCCCCCUGGACAAAGACUGACGCUCAGGUGCGAAAGCGUGGGGAGCAAACAGGAUUAGAUACCCCAGUAGUC
rnacentral:rRNA from 1 species